rnacentral:lncRNA from 1 species
CAGUUGAAGCCCCAGAAUGCUGCCCCUGGCAACCACCAGCAAUUGGCUGGAGUGAACACGUUGGAUGAAACCAAGCAGCACACCAGAGUAGAUGUUUCUAUAACUGACUCCAGACCUUCUCACUCCAUAAGUCUAUUCCUCACUGGUACUCGCAGCACCAUGGCCAGGCUGACAAAGCAAGUACUGCCUCUCCCCUCAAUGUACAACAAGCAGUCAGAAGCUCAGACAAUCUCAAGUUUAGAAAGGCUUUGUAGAGAGGAGAGGAGCCCCAGCCCCUGUGAGUGGCCACUGUUCACGGCACUUCAGUGACAUGAGAAGAGCAGACUCCCUAUAAUGAACAAUUCUGGCCAACCAAG